CCUGAGCGUAGAAGCGGUCAGCCGCGGCGCCCUGCCCCGAGCAGGCACCCGGUCGGGCAUUGCGCUCGUU
rnacentral:ncRNA from 1 species